GGAAGUAUAGCUCAGUGGUAGAGCACGUACUUAGCAUGCGCGAGGUCCUGGGUUCAAUCCCCAAUACCUCCA
rnacentral:tRNA from 1 species